UACGUAGGGGGCUAGCGUUGUCCGGAUUUACUGGGCGUAAAGGGUGAGUAGGCGGUAAUGUGUGUCAGAUGUUUAAUCUAUGGGCUCAACCCAUAUCAGCAUUUGAAACUACAUAACUUGAGUGCAGGAGAGGUAAGUGGAAUUCCUAGUGUAGCGGUGGAAUGCGUAGAUAUUAGGAGGAACACCGGUGGCGAAGGCGACUUACUGGACUGUAACUGACGCUGAGACACGAAAGCGUGGGGAGCGAACAGG
rnacentral:rRNA from 1 species